UAUUCCCCACUGCUGCCUCCCGUAGGAGUCUGGUCCGUGUCUCAGUACCAGUGUGGGGGACCUUCCUCUCAGAACCCCUACGCAUCGUCGCCUUGGUGGGCCGUCGCCCCGCCAACAAGCUAAUGCGCCGCAUGCCCAUCCCCUACCGCCGGAGCUUUCCCAGCAAAAGGAUGCCCUCUCGCUGACUACGGGGUAUUAGGCCAAAUUUCUCUGGGUUAUUCCCCUGUAGGGGGCAGGUUGCAUACGUGUUACUCACCAGUGCGCCGGUCGCCAUCGGGUGGUGUUGCCACCUCCCAUGCUGCCCCUCGACUUGCAUGUGUUAAGCCUGCCGCCAGCGUUCAUCCUGAGCCAA
rnacentral:rRNA from 1 species